rnacentral:rRNA from 1 species
GAUGAACGCUGGCGGCGUGCCUAAUACAUGCAAGUCGAGCGAACAGACGAGGAGCUUGCUCCUCUGACGUUAGCGGCGGACGGGUGAGUAACACGUGGAUAACCUACCUAUAAGACUGGGAUAACUUCGGGAAACCGGAGCUAAUACCGGAUAAUAUAUUGAACCGCAUGGUUCAAUAGUGAAAGACGGUUUUGCUGUCACUUAUAGAUGGAUCCGCGCCGCAUUAGCUAGUUGGUAAGGUAACGGCUUACCAAGGCAACGAUGCGUAGCCGACCUGAGAGGGGCGACGGCCACCCUGGAACUGAGACACGGUCCAGACACUUACGGUAGGCAGCAGUAGGGAAUCUUCCGGGAGGGGCGAAAGCCGGACGGAGCAACGCCGCGUGAGUGAUGAAGGUCUUCGGAUCGGAAAACUCUGUUAGUAGGGAAGAACAAAUGUGUAAGUAACUAUGCACGUCUUGACGGUACCUAAUCAGAAAGCCACGGCUAACUACGUG